AGCGAACGCUGGCGGCAGGCCUAACACAUGCAAGUCGAACGAACUCUUCGGAGUUAGUGGCGGACGGGUGAGUAACACGUGGGAACGUGCCUUUAGGUUCGGAAUAACUCAGGGAAACUUGUGCUAAUACCGAAUGUGCCCUUCGGGGGAAAGAGUUAUCGCCUUUAGAGCGGCCCGCGUCUGAUUAGCUAGUUGGUGAGGUAAAGGCUCACCAAGGCGACGAUCAGUAGCUGGUCUGAGAGGAUGAUCAGCCACAUUGGGACUGAGACCCGGCCCAAACUCCUACGGGAGGCAGCAGUGGGGAAUCUUGCGCAAUGGGCGAAAGCCUGACGCAGCCAUGCCGCGUGAAUGAUGAAGGUCUUAGGAUUGUAAAAUUCUUUCACCGGGGACGAUAAUGACGGUACCCGGAGAAGAAGCCCCGGCUAACUUCGUG
rnacentral:rRNA from 1 species